rnacentral:snRNA from 2 species
AUGCUCAUUUCAGCAGCACGUGUACUAAAAUGGAAACACUACAGAGAAGAUUAGCAUGCCCUGUGUAGCAUGCCACACAAAUUCAUGAAACAUUUAUCUUUAUG